rnacentral:ncRNA from 1 species
GAAUGCUACAGCUCCCAGUUUCUUAUUAUCAUACAACCGAGUCAGAAGGGAAGAAGGGAAGAAGAGGGUGGUGUUGCAUCACUGUUAGUGGGUGGAGCAAUUUGUCUGGUUAAUUUCAAUAAAGAAUGAAACUCUGGCAUGCUAACUAACUAGUUAUGCAACCCAAGAGCUGUCGGCGUCCUCUAACUUUUUAGAGGGACAAGUGGCAUUCAGCUACCCGAGAUUGAGCAAUAUCAGAUCUGUGAUUCCCGUAGAUGUCCAGGGCUGCAUGCUACAGUGACUGGCUCAGCAUGUGCUUACCCUCCCCUGGCAAGCCCAGGUAAUCCAUUAAACCCAUUUGUGAUGGGGAUCCUGGACUGACUAAAUGAAU